rnacentral:rRNA from 1 species
UGGGGAAUAUUGCACAAUGGGCGCAAGCCUGAUGCAGCCAUGCCGCGUGUAUGAAGAAGGCCUUCGGGUUGUAAAGUACUUUCAGCGGGGAGGAAGGCGAUAAGGUUAAUAACCUUGUCGAUUGACGUUACCCGCAGAAGAAGCAACGGCUAACUCCGUGCCAGCAGCCGCGGUAAUACGGAGGGUGCAAGCGUUAAUCGGAAUUACUGGGCGUAAAGCGCACGCAGGCGGUCUGUCAAGUCGGAUGUGAAAGCCCCGGGCUCAACCUGGGAACUGCAUUCGAAACUGGCAGGCUAGAGUCUUGUAGAGGGGGGUAGAAUUCCAGGUGUAGCGGUGAAAUGCGUAGAGAUCUGGAGGAAUACCGGUGGCGAAGGCGGCCCCCUGGACAAAGACUGACGCUCAGGUGCGAAAGCGUGGGGAGCAAACA